GUUAGAGUAGUUUAAAUUAAAACAUUAUUUUGUGGAAAUAAAAAUAUAGAGUUAUCUUUGGCU
rnacentral:tRNA from 1 species